UUUCUUCCCAUGGCUCCACCACUGCAGAAGCUUCUGUCACCGUGGGGCAACAGUGUUCUCCGAUGCCCACUCUUCUGCCAAGGACCGGGAAGGAGGCGGCCAGGCCGACCGGCUUCCGGGGUGUGUCGCCGUCUUCACCGCAACCUCCCACACUGCGGCAAUUUGUCAUUGAGAAGCAAGGCAGCUUUGAUCGCACCCUCUGGCACACCCGUGUCCUCACCAUCGACACUGCGCACGGCCGACUGUACCUCAGCAAGGCCCACAAGGCCGAGAACCUGGACCACCGCUGCAUGAACCGCAUCGACUCGGUGGAGCUAUGGCCGACAUUCAGCUCGGAUAACAUACCCGAGCAUUUCGGCAGUGAGCUGGCCAGGCGGACGGUCUGUCUGAGGGGGCUGGUGGGUAUCAAAACCCAGUCGUUUUUCAUGAGGUGGUUCAGAAGCAGCGACGCGCGAACGAAAGAGGUAGCGGUGGUAGCUGCAAACGUGGCCCAGACCGGUGCCUCUGCUUCCCGAACCCAGCCACACGACAUAGAUUCGGAUGGUCAUCGAGAGACCAUCGAGGCAUCCGUGCUGUGUCCCGUCGGCAGCUAUAUGCGUUUCGAGGUAGAGGUUUGGUUGAUCCGCUGCAUGACUCUGCAUGAUCUACAUGAAAUGGCUGAUGCCUUUCGCGCCGCGAUUCCGGAGGCGUCGUCUGUGUUGAAAGGCUAUCAAGCGCUGAAGCAGAGUACGGCAGGCUCGGACUGAUGUGCGCGUUCUUUUUUUCUCUGCUGCUGCGGGGGAGGGGGCACCUUUCCCAUGUCGCCCAUGCCAUAGUGCGGUAUUAUAGGUGCCUGUGCAUAUGCACGUUACUACGUGGCUCGGCGGAGAUUCCCUUUUUUGUCUUUCCUUGCCCAUUUUGCCCACUGUUAUCAGCCGAUAGAACAGCUACAAGAGCGGCUACUGGUAUGCCGCGACACCCAGGCCUAUUGCAUCACCAACGAGAGCGUGCGCACCCUCUCAUUCACCGUACACGUGACCGCUGCUUAGUUCUUG
rnacentral:misc_RNA from 1 species